rnacentral:lncRNA from 1 species
UCUCCAUGCACAAGGGAGCCCACGCCCUUCUCUUCUCAUGCCAAGAGUGGAUAAGGAUGGGUUGGUUAGCAUUUGAAUUCAAAUUCGAUUUGAAUUCAAAUGAGCAACCACCUAUCUUUAUCCUCUCACACGUUUAAGACGCAUCUUGCAUUGUUUUAAAAGUGAGAAGAAGGUGGGGCGUGCGUACGAGAUUUUUGAGAAAUAAAAGUGGGCAUGAGGAAGCUUUCUGCAUGAUUUUGAAAAGUUCAAAAAUUUCGAGAGGAAAGAAAAGAAAGAGAGUGGGCGCAGGCUUUUUGGAGAGUACCCUAGGGUUUCGGCCUAGGGUUAGGGAAGUGAGAAAGUGAGCUACGAGUGUCGUGAGCCCA